ensembl:snoRNA SNORD83B small nucleolar RNA, C/D box 83B
GCUGUUCUGUGAUCAGGCCUAGAAUGUGUACUGGGCGCUGGAGUCAGACAAGGAACCAUUCCCUGUUAUCUUCCUUCUGAGAAACCCUGCAGU